rnacentral:ncRNA from 2 species
CCUAAAUCCGGUUCAGACGGUCUCCUCUCGGCAAAGGGAGGAGCCAAGAGGGAAUGCGGUGCGAAAUCCGAUUUCAAAUCCGCGGCUGUCCCCGCAACUGUAAGCGACGAGCCAAGGCCGAUAACCACUGGGAAAAUCCCGGGAAGGCGGCACCAAGGCGAUGACCCGCGAGCCAGGAGACCUGCCGUCUAGGACAUAAGAAU